ACCUAUAUAGAAACUGCCCUUCGGGGC
rnacentral:tmRNA from 1 species